GGGUCUAUAGUUCAAUGGCAGAAUGGCGGUCUCCAAAACCGCUGAUCUAGGUUCGAAUCCUAGUAGGCCCGCAA
rnacentral:tRNA from 3 species